rnacentral:rRNA from 1 species
UUCGCCCUUAGAGUUUGAUCCUGGGCUCAGGAUGAACGCUGGCGGCGUGCCUAACACAUGCAAGUCGAACGGACUCAUAUUGAAACCUAGUGAUUUAUGAGUUAGUGGCGGACGGGUGAGUAACGCGUGGAAAACCUGCCGUAUACCGGGGGAUAACACUUAGAAAUAGGUGCUAAUACCGCAUAAGCGCACAGCUUCGCAUGAAGCAGUGUGAAAAACUCCGGUGGUAUACGAUGGUUCCGCGUCUGAUUAGCUAGUUGGCGGGGUAACGGCCCACCAAGGCAGCGAUCAGUAGCCGGCCUGAGAGGGUGAACGGCCACAUUGGGACUGAGACACGGCCCAAACUCCUACGGGAGGCAGCAGUGGGGAAUAUUGCACAAUGGGGGGAACCCUGAUGCAGCGAUGCCGCGUGAGUGAAGACGGCCUUCGGGUUGUAAAGCUCUGUCGCAGGGGACGAAAAUGACGGUACCCUGCAAGAAAGCUCCGGCUAACUACGUGCCAGCAGCCGCGGUAAUACGUAGGGAGCAAGCGUUGUCCGGAAUUACUGGGUGUAAAGGGAGCGUAGGCGGGAGGAUAAGUUGAAUGUGAAAUCCAUGGGCUCAACCCAUGGCUGCGUUCAAAACUGUUCUUCUUGAGUGAAGUAGAGGCAGGCGGAAUUCCUAGUGUAGCGGUGAAAUGCGUAGAUAUUAGGAGGAACACCAGUGGCGAAGGCGGCCUGCUGGGCUUUUACUGACGCUGAGGCUCGAAAGCGUGGGUAGCAAACAGGAUUAGAUACCCUGGUAGUCCACGCGGUAAACGAUGAUUACUAGGUGUGGGUGGACUGACCCCAUCCGUGCCGGAGUUAACACAAUAAGUAAUCCACCUGGGGAGUACGGCCGCAAGGUUGAAACUCAAAGGAAUUGACGGGGGCCCGCACAAGCAGUGGAGUAUGUGGUUUAAUUCGACGCAACGCGAAGAACCUUACCAGGUCUUGACAUCGAGUGACGGAUAUAGAGAUAUAUCUUUCCUUCGGGACACGAAGACAGGUGGUGCAUGGUUGUCGUCAGCUCGUGUCGUGAGAUGUUGGGUUAAGUCCCGCAACGAGCGCAACCCUUACCAUUUGUUGCUACGCAAGAGCACUCUAAUGGGACUGCCGUUGACAAAACGGAGGAAGGUGGGGAUGACGUCAAAUCAUCAUGCCCUUUAUGACCUGGGCGACACACGUACUACAAUGGCGAUGAACAGAGGGAGGCAAAGCCGCGAGGCAGAGCAAACCCCUAAAAAUCGUCCCAGUUCGGAUUGCAGGCUGCAACUCGCCUGCAUGAAGUCGGAAUUGCUAGUAAUCGCGGAUCAGCAUGCCGCGGUGAAUACGUUACCGGGCCUUGCACUCACCGCCCGUCA